rfam:Pteropus alecto contig105524, whole genome shotgun sequence.
GUCUAUGGCCAUGCUACCCUGAAUAAGCCCGAUCCUGUCUGAUCUCGGAAGCUAAGCAGAGUCAAGUCUGGUUAGUACUUGGAUAGGAGAUCCCCUAGGAAGACCAAGUGCUGUAGGUG